CUAAAAAAUGCUGGGUUAUUUAAACUACCCAACUGCUACGUUACUGAGGUUGGGUCAAAAAUACGGGUUAUUUUUUCGUUUGUUGGGUAAUUUUAAACAACCCAGCGCUGCUGGGUUUGCAGUGCGGACCUGAGAGAGAACAUGCACGCCCCGCCCCGCCCUGGACGCCGACCGCACCAUUUCCCUCCCGCUGGAAGAGGCUCCUGUGGGAAGUAAAUGGCUGAAAUAAAUAUUUCUGUUAGAUUUUUCCUGUUCCAUGGAUUCAUUUGUGAAGAAGAAAUUACAUGAGUGGAAACUGGACUCUCUGAUUCCUAGGUCUGAGUAUGAAGAAAUGAAAAAGGAGUUUUCUUUUACUGGACGAUGCUUCCAUUGUGGCGCUAGUUCCUGUGAUUGGUCCCAGACUGAAACUGAGGUGACACCUCAGAAAACUGAAUGAGAUGCGCAAGGUGAAGAGGACAGAAGAGCUUCCGUCCGAGCUACAAAGAGACAAAAAAAAAAUCAUUUAUUGAUCUGCAACCGGUUAAUAUAGUUGGGACCAUUAUGGGGAGUUCCUGUCCGAGGCACAAGUCACAAGACCAUACCCAUUUGUUUUGGCUCUAGGAGAUGAUCGGCACUGCUCGCAAUCCUUUGUGGUCAUCAACAGGGAAAAAAAAUGUUGUUGAGGAAUGUUUAUGAAAUGGAAAUGAAAUGGUUGUUGUUGAUGACUGUUGUUGUUAAGAAAUUACUUUGAGAAAUUAUCAUGAGAUGUACUUAUUCAAUAAAGCAUUUUAUUGUUGGUA